rnacentral:lncRNA from 1 species
CAAUGAUUAGUCUUUACAUAGUGCUUUAAAGUUUACAAAGCACUUAAAGUAUGUUAUUUCAUUAGAUUCUUACAACAAUUAUAUGAGGUAGUAGCAAUUUUUAUUCCCAUUUUGGGGGGGUAAAUUGAGGCAUAAAGAGGUUAGGUGACUUGCUAAUAGUCACACAGCUCAUAAAUGUCUAAGGAAUCAUCUGAGCUCAAGGCUGCCUCAUUUCAAUUUCAACACUUCCAUCUCCUAUGCCACCUGGUACCUCACAUGUACCCAAUUGGAGCAUCCAAGCACAGGACAGAUGUGCUAUCUGAGAUUUCCUUCAUCAAGUAAAAUUCCAGGAAUGUCUGUGAAGUUUGGAGUUUGAAGAUAUUACUGUAGACAUCUCUAGUCAUCAGAGGCUGGAUUUGAUUGAUUAGAGUAAGGAAGAUGGUGAGAGAAGAUAAUGGGAAGAAAACUAGCUCGGGAGCCAAAAGAAUAGUGUUUCAGACAAUUGAUAAAUGUAUGAUGUUGGGAAAGUCUCAUGAAUCUGUGGCAUAGAUUUCCUCUUCUGUACAGUGGGGUUUAAGUAUCCUGGAUUACUUCCAUAUCCCAUCCAGGUAGCAGAGGGGAAUUCUUUCUACUGUCUUCCCUUAUAACAAUCCCUCCUCCCAUCUUUCAAAUUCAGUCUCUCAUGACUGGGAUCUGUCUACAAUCCUAUCUACCACAUAGUGAAUGUGACAGUCUAUUACCUGGGAGACUUUUUUUGUGUGGGAACAUGUCUCCAAUUAUAUAAUGAUAAUGAAUGGAAACAGAACUUUCUUUAAACUCAUUUUACAAUCAAUUUUGUUAGGAUACCUCUGUUAUCUUUUUAUAGAUUCCUAUGAAGUGGUUUUAAUCCAGUCCCUUCCUCUCCUACAUUCAAUAGUGCUGGUCUCCAGGUGUAAUCUGUUGUGGAGGGGACAUGAAGAAAGGGAGGAUUUGCAGGACAAGCCAAGCAUGCAAGAAACAAAGCUGGGGAGCUAAUCUGCAAAAUCAAGGCAGUUUUUCCCACAGCCAUAUCCCAAAGUCAUCGCUAACUAUUUUUGUGCCCCAGAUAGUACCUCUCAUGGGGUAAGAAGCCUGAAAUGUGCCCUGAAGUCAACUUUCAAAGCAAGGACACUGAAAUGCCUCUGGGAAAGCUGGUAGCCAAAAGUAGAGAGAGCAGCUGGGGAGAAACUCACCUGGAGUGGGGGAAGAAUUUGAUUGUCCUGUAGCUCCUAUAAACUAGGAGGGAAAUUUUGUUGUUGUCUGGAUUGCUGAGUCUGUGAGUGUUGUGAAUGCCCUCUAAACUCGAAACUGAAUGAAAGCUCUUGUCACCCUACCCUAGUUUUGGUACUGCAUAACCCUCCAAAACGGAAAGUCG